GUAGGAUGACAGGGGAGGGGAGGUUGAAGAUGGAGGUUUGCUUUAGACAGGGGGCCUCCUCCCAAAGGAGAUGAUAUUUGAGCUGAAACCUGAAUGGUGAGAAGACACUAGUCAUGGUGGAUGGCAGCCAUCUAAAUGCUCCAUUUUCUCUGAAGCUCUGUUGAAGGCCCAGAUGGAAGUAAUCACUCCUUUCUCGAUGUUCUCAUGAGCCUUUGAGCCUCUUUGGAUUUCUGAAGUCAAUUCAGGGUGAACUGAACAUCCCUUUUAGAGGAUGCAAGUAAAAGAACCGAGCAGAACCCUCCCACUGGAAGAUGAGAACGACAAGAAAUCGACACUUUAGCUUUGGGGACUUUCUACUUAUGUGAAGAAAAAUUAUUGUAAACUACCAAAAAAGAUCUUCUAGAAAAUCUCUAAGUAGAAGGGCUGCUUUCCCAAGUUUGGUUGGUUUUAGAGGAUUAAAAAAAAAAAAGAUUGAUGACUUCCCUGGUGGUCCAAUAGUUAGGAAUCCACCUGCCUGUGCAGGGGACAUGAAUUCGAUCUCUGGUCUGGGAAGGUUCCACAUGCUGCGGGGCAACUAAGCCCACGUGGUGCAAAUACUGAAGCCUGUGCGCCUGGAGCCUGUGCUCCACAACAAGGAAAGCCGCUGCAGUGAGAAGCCUGUGCCCUGCAACGAAGUGUAGCCCCCACUGGCUGCAACUAGAGAAAGUCUGUCCAUACACAAAGACCCAGUGCAGACAAU
ensembl:lncRNA